UACGAAGGGGGCUAGCGUUGCUCGGAAUCACUGGGCGUAAAGCGCACGUAGGCGGCUCGUUAAGUCGGGGGUGAAAUCCUGGAGCUCAACUCCAGAACUGCCCUCGAUACUGACGAGCUCGAGUCCGGGAGAGGUGAGUGGAACUGCGAGUGUAGAGGUGAAAUUCGUAGAUAUCGAGAGGAACACCGGUGGCGAAGGCGGCCUUCUGGACAGUGACUGACGCUGAGACGCGAAAGCGUGGGGAGCAAACAGG
rnacentral:rRNA from 1 species